AUAGUCAAGGCAGAGUGGUUGAGGCAACAGACUAAAAAUCUGCUGAGGUCUUGCUGAACAGGUUUGAAUCCUACUGACUACA
rfam:Haliaeetus albicilla contig93405, whole genome shotgun sequence.